rnacentral:ncRNA from 1 species
UGUCUCCUCCAACACCUCCUAGGUUUGGAUUCAGCCCGCAAGCUUCAGCUCUGCGGGCUUUUUUUU